CGCGCUGGGCGUGUCCUAGUGAGCCAUGCUGCUAGUGAAUUUUUUGGAGGUUGGUACGUCGGUUUUGGCCAUCGACGCCAUGUCUAAAUGGUUUUAGGCACUACGGAAGCGCCUAUACGCCAGCAAUACGAAAUAGGCUAAUACGCGAUCUUCUGCUACGGAAAGAGAAAGGCCUUGCCCUUUCUGCGCAUCAGCGCAGCCCGAGCAUGAAAAGUCGAACUGUCGAACGCUAGAAUUUUGUUAACGGUCUUAAAAUGACGAAUAAUGAAAGGAAAGAGAUCACCAUUAUCAAUACAAGCACAAAUGAAAAAAAUUCUUAAAGAUUAGUAAUACUUUUAUAAAAAAAAGUAUGCUAAAAGAUUAUUUUUGAAGAGAAGGUACUUUAGAGUAUAAGCAUGAUUCCGAAAAAAUGUACUUAUUAGAAACCAAUGAAGAAUCCAUAAUUUUGGAGCCAGGAGUUACAACUUAUUAUUUUACUCCUUUACAAGAUCACCAAGUCCCAAAAUUAUGUGAAAAACGACAAAUUCGUUUUAAAGAGCUUAUUGAUAAAGUGCAUUUUUCGAAAAAAGUAGACUCUAAAGUUUCGAAGAAAAUGUCAUCUAAUAAUUAAAAAGUCUCAAACAGAUCUGAAGAUGAAUUUAAAGUUAAAUCAGAUGAUAAAGAAAUAAUAAAUCGUAUGAUACAUGUAGGAUGGAAGCACAGAAUUGAAUAUAACAAGAAGUUCGAAAAUAUGGGUGUUAUAGGAAAAACGAAGAAAAUUUCUUUAAACUAUUGUGCAAAAUAUUCUUACAAAGAAAUCAAGCAUGAAUUGAUCCAAUAUUAUAUUGACAAUAACAAAUUCCACUUUCAGCGAGCAGUUACAUGUUUGGGAAGAGCUGAUGGUAGUCUUAUUUUAGAUUUUGUAGAUGAUGAUGGUAAUCGCUUCUGUAAUCAGAAGAUGCUAUCAGGGUAGUCAAAAGUAUAAAAGUAAUGAUUUAUACUUUUCCAAAGAAGAAAUCGAAACAUUUAUUCUUCCUAGCGCGUUUUUGUUCUUUAGACUUUAGAGUGUAUACUUAGAACUGAUGAUGGCAAUGACUAAGUCAAAAAAUGACUAGGAUAUAUAAGAAUUUAUUUAUUUUUUUGAUUAUUUUUGAUUGUAAUAUUUGUAGACAUUAGCGAUAACUAGACCAGUUAAUCGUGUUUAUUUAUAUAAUAUUUUAAAGAUUGAUUAUAAUAUACAUUUUUAUAUUUAUUGUAUUACAGAGUAUAAUAUAGUAAUUAAAAUAUAAUUUAUUAUGCGAAAAAUUAAAUUAAUUUAAAAAGAUUUUCGAGUAUACUAUGUUUUUUGUAUAUAUUUUUGUAUUAUGGUGUUCGGUUUUCUUCGUUUUAUCUUUUAAUAAAUCCUCAUCUUGCUAGCAAAUAGACUACUUACUGAAAAAUAACUUUGAGUUAUUUCUCGAUGUUUCUUGACAAAAAACAUAUAAUUGACCAUGACUCAAUACUGUAGUGCGCAAAUAUAUUCGAAACUGAAUCUCAUCUAACGAUGGUCUUAGAUCAAGUCGUGACAAUAAGACGAUUUUACUAAAAUAUUUACCAGUAAUGAUUUGUCCAACUAAUAUAUGUUUUUUUAUAUCCUUUAUAAUCAUUCUUGUUCCAUUACAAAGGCCGCCAUCGAUAUCCAAAUUUCUUACACAACUAACUAUCGUACCUCUUUUUAAUAUUAAUUUAUGUGGUGGUAAUCCAUUUGGUGUCAAUGAAUUUAGAAAUUCUGUUGGUAUUGAAUCUACCAAAUUGUCAUCAUUUUCACUUUCAAUUCUAUCAUUACUAUAAAAUACAAAACUCUUACCAUCAAUUUUUUCAACUAUAUUUCCAUUAAUUUUUUAUAUAUAAGCAUUUAAUGGUGAUAAAAUCACUUUAUUUCUCAACGAUAAAUCAUUUGAAUUAAUUCUAUGUCCAAAAAUUUCUAUUGCAUUUUUAUUUUCUCCUACAUCAAGAACCCAGUUUUCAAAAUCAUGAUCUUUAUUCUGUAAUCUCAAAUUUUAAUUCAUGAUAAUUUCAUGAAAGAUAACCAUAAUUUAUUUUUUUUUAUACAUUACUCCAUCAUUUUUGUACGAUUGCCAUGGCGUACUAUAGGAAGUGUUUGUCUAAAAUCACCAGACGGAACGAUAAUUUUCCCUCCAAAAGGGUCGUAAGUAAUACACAAAUCUUGUAAAAAUGUAUUUAUUGCUUCAUAAGCAUAUCUAGAUACCAUAUUUCAUUCCCAUAUUAUAAUUCUAAUAUUUUUUAAAAACAUUUCAUUUUUUGAAUUAGCUAUAUCAAUUUUUCACAAAUCACACCAGUAAAUAAACGAUAGCUUUAAUUCAUAUCUUGUUAUGUAUUUCAAGUUUAUAAAAACAGAA
rnacentral:lncRNA from 1 species